rnacentral:rRNA from 1 species
GUCUGUAUGGGCUUCGGUCUCUUCUGAGAUACUUUUGGUGAUUCAAAAUAACUUAUCGAAUCGCAGAGGCGUUUACGUCGGCGAUGAUACAUACAAAUUUCUGCUCGAUUGACUGUCGAUGGUAGUGUAGUGGACUACCAUGGUGAUAAUCGAUGACGGGGGAUUAGGGUUCGAUUCCGGAGAGGUAGCCUGAGAAAUGGCUACCACUUCCAAGGAAGGCAGCAGGCGCGCAAAUUACCCAAUGCUAACUCAGCGAGGUAGUGACAAGAAAUACCAAUACAAUGCCAAUGGUGUUGUGUUUGGAAUGAGAGUAAUCUAAACAUUUACUCGAGGAACAAUUGGAGGGCAAGUCUGGUGCCAGCAGCCGCGGUAAUUCCAGCUCCAAUAGUGUAUAUUAAAGUUGUUGCAGUUAAAAAGCUCGUAGUUGGAUGCCGGUAACUGUCAUGAGUGUCUACUCUCAAUGAGUACGUACACGAAUGUAGUACCUUCUUUCUGGUAGUAAUUUUAUAUUGCUCCAGAUAUUUUACUUUGAGAAAAUUAGAGUGUUCAAAGCAGGCGUAACUUUGCCUUUGAAUAUAUUAGCAUGGGAUAAUGAAAUAAGACUUUUGCCUUAUUCUCGUUGGUUCUUUUAGGCUUAAGUAAUGAUUAAUAGGGACAGUUGGGGUUAUCUGUAUUUGAUCGCCAGAGGUGAAAUUCUAAGACUGAUCAAAGACAAACUACUGCGAAAGCAUUUAACAAGGAUGUUUUCAUUAAUCAAGAACGAAAGUUGGGGGAUCGAAGAUGAUCAGAUACCGUCGUAGUCCCAACCAUAAACUAUGUCGACCAAGGAUUCGAAAGCGUUACAUGAAUGACCUUCCGGGCUCUUAUAGAGAAAUCAUAAGUAUUUGGAUUCCGGGGGGAGUAUGGUCGCAAGGCUGAAACUUAAAGAAAUUGACGGAAGGGCACCACAGGGAGUGGAAUAUGCGGUUUAAUUUGACCCAACACGGGAAAACUUACCAGGUCCAGCCACAAGGAGGAUUGACAGAUUGAGAGCUCUUUCUCAAUUUUGUGGGUGGUGGUGCAUGGCCGUUUCUAGUUGGUGGAGUGAUUUGUCUGGUUAAUUCCGUUAACGAACGAGACCUUAACCUAUUAAAUAGUAACAUCUACUUGGAUAAUUUACUUCCAAUAGUAGGUGGUUUACUUCUUAGAGGUACUCUUCACGUAAAGAGUGAAUGGAAGUUUG